rnacentral:tRNA from 1 species
GUCCGUAUCGAUUAGUGGUUAAAUCAUCUCGUUGUGGAAUACAAAGCUCCGAGAAGCCGCAGGCUCGAAUCCUGCUACGGACA